rnacentral:piRNA from 1 species
UGGUACUCUCGGGCAAUCUUCCAGGC